rnacentral:rRNA from 2 species
CUAUAAUGCAGUCGAGCGAACUGAUUAGAAGCUUGCUUCUAUGACGUUAGCGGCGGACGGGUGAGUAACACGUGGGCAACCUGCCUGUAAGACUGGGAUAACUUCGGGAAACCGAAGCUAAUACCGGAUAGGAUCUUCUCCUUCAUGGGAGAUGAUUGAAAGAUGGUUUCGGCUAUCACUUACAGAUGGGCCCGCGGUGCAUUAGCUAGUUGGUGAGGUAACGGCUCACCAAGGCAACGAUGCAUAGCCGACCUGAGAGGGUGAUCGGCCACACUGGGACUGAGACACGGCCCAGACUCCUACGGGAGGCAGCAGUAGGGAAUCUUCCGCAAUGGACGAAAGUCUGACGGAGCAACGCCGCGUGAGUGAUGAAGGCUUUCGGGUCGUAAAACUCUGUUGUUAGGGAAGAACAAGUACGAGAGUAACUGCUUGUACCUUGACGGUACCUAACCAGAAAGCCACGGCUAACUACGUGCCAGCAGCCGCGGUAAUACGUAGGUGGCAAGCGUUAUCCGGAAUUAUUGGGCGUAAAGCGCGCGCAGGCGGUUUCUUAAGUCUGAUGUGAAAGCCCACGGCUCAACCGUGGAGGGUCAUUGGAAACUGGGGAACUUGAGUGCAGAAGAGAAAAGCGGAAUUCCACGUGUAGCGGUGAAAUGCGUAGAGAUGUGGAGGAACACCAGUGGCGAAGGCGGCUUUUUGGUCUGUAACUGACGCUGAGGCGCGA